rnacentral:rRNA from 1 species
CUAGUACUGUGANACUGCGAANGGCUCAUUACAUCAGUUAUAGUUUAUUUGAUGGNCCUACCACCUGGGUNACCGGAGUAANUCCUUAACUAAUACAUGGCCUGAAACCCNACUUGUGGGGGGUUGCAUUGNUUAUAUACAAAACCAACAAGCUGGUUGAUUCAUAUCAACUUAACNAAUCACAGCCUUCAGGCGCGAUGAAUCNUUCAAAUUUCUGCCCNAUCAACUGUCGAUGGUAAAGUGGGCUUACCAUGGCUACAACGGGAACGGGGAAUCUUGAUCGGAUCGCAUACGGUGGCUUAUAUUUGUUAUUAUAAUCUUCGGAUUUUAAUAGCAAAUAUAAGUCGNANACGAUUCAUUCGAAUUUCUGCCCCAUCAACUCUCGAUGGUAGGAUAGAGGCCUACCAUGGUCGCAACGGGUAACGGGGAAUA